rnacentral:rRNA from 1 species
AUUGAACGCUGGCGGCAUGCCUUACACAUGCAAGUCGAACGGUAACAGGUCUUUCGGGAUGCUGACGAGUGGCGAACGGGUGAGUAAUACAUCGGAACGUGCCUAGUAGGGGGGGAUAACUACUCGAAAGAGUGGCUAAUACCGCAUGAGAUCUAUGGAUGAAAGCAGGGGACCUUCGGGCCUUGUGCUAAUAGAGCGGCCGAGGGCAGAUUAGGUAGUUGGUGGGAUAAAAGCUUACCAAGCCUACGAUCUGUAGCUGGUCUGAGAGGACGAUCAGCCACACUGGGACUGAGACACGGCCCAGACUCCUACGGGAGGCAGCAGUGGGGAAUUUUGGACAAUGGGCGCAAGCCUGAUCCAGCAAUGCCGCGUGCAGGAUGAAGGCCUUCGGGUUGUAAACUGCUUUUGUACGGAACGAAAAGUCUUGGGUUAAUACCCUGGGAUCAUGACGGUACCGUAAGAAUAAGCACCGGCUAACUACGUGCCAGCCGCCGCCGUAACAC